AGCUGUACAGAUGUGUGUGUGUGUUCCUGUGUUGGUGCCACGUUUAUAAAAAUGUGUUAAUUUGCCAUCUCUUAGUUCGUGAGCCGAUCCGCUGUUUGGAAUGUGACACGUCGCUACAACUUUCUCGCUUAUUCAUUCGCCCUGUGCAUCAGGCAAGUUUUGAAAUGGCAUAUACAGAAACGGUGCAACUCAGUAGUGUGCUUGCGUGCAUUCAGCUAGCCGGUUUUUCAAAAUCCUGACGUUUGCGUUUAAUCCCUGGGUCUCUUCGGGGUUUUUGGGCUACAAGUCGAAAGUCCCAUUUCAUGUUAUUGUUUGUUUAAUUUUACUGGGAUUUUAAAAGGAAGUGUGGCCAAAAAAAAAACAAGACCAGCUCCCGUGUUGUUUGUAUUGCAGAAAGCAGGAUGGAUGUGCAGAGAGACGCUAAACAAAAACUGGACUCUGCGGACUGCUCGGAGCUGCAGGUUUAACUUGUCAUAGCAAGAGGAAGUGAUUAUAAACCGUUGCGCGGCUUCCUUCCCACGCAGGUUUCCCGCCUGCAAGCGGAGCAGCAGGCCAGACUGUUUUCUAACUCGCUGGAAAGUACAAAGCAAGAAUAAACCAAGAUCAUUUCACUGUUUGGGUUUUUUUGUUGUUGUUGUUUUUAAAGUUAAAAUUAUUGUCUGUUCAAAAGAAAAACUCAAUUAAAUGUUGCGAUCUACAGUAAAUCAUACGGUUUACAGGGGAAAAAAGAAAACUUUUUUGAAAUAAAUUUGCACCAUUCAUACAUGGGAAAACUCGCAUUCACAGCAAACAUCAUUUCAAUGCACUUUCCAAGACAAACUGAUCCACUUUAUACGCAGAAGUAAGUCCAGUUCAAUCAAACGCACGUAUUCGAAUUCAGUUCUGUCCUAGUUUUAAACACUUUGGUUCAUUUCAGGGGUAAAAAAAAACGUUUUGUUCAGACGUUGUCACUUUGGCCACAACUGUCAACAAAAAUAUGACGGGCCAAAAAAAAGUCACAUUUUUAAUAACUAAAAUCGCCAGAAAUGUCACAUUUUUUUAAGGUAUUUUAAUGAAACUCCAAAUUUUUUGUUGUUGUUUUUUUAUGGGAACCAGAUCAUGGAUCCAGAACUUGCUAAAUGACUUCCAGCUUGCUUGUAAUUUUGAAGAAAAUCUACAAAAAAAUUUAUCGGUUCUCAUCAGCAAAACAGGAUCUAAGUCAGUCUUCAUUUCAAAACACGUUUUUUUUUUUAAUGCAGCAUUUAAAAGCAGAUUUGGGUGCACCAAAGUGAACUUCACAAGUCAAUGAGUGGAUGGGCUCCUGGUUACCAUGACAACAGGAGAAACUCAGAAAGCUUAGAAAAGAGGAUCCCUUUGUGUUGCGUCUAACUUUUUUUUUUUGUGAGCGGAUUUGAAUUUAUAGGUCAUGGUUUUUGUCCUAAUUUGUUUAAUUUAUGUUUGGUCAGGGGAGCCGCGUAAAAAUCAGUCCAUCCGCCGCAGAACGGAGAGAGAAACAAACGCAGAAUCACCGAUCCUGGAGUUCUUUCUGCAUUAAAUAAUAAUAAUGAUUAUUAUUUUAUAGCAGUAGAAGCUCCUUCAGUGGUUUCACAGAGGACAGAAAACGCCGCUCUGCAGAUGCACUUUGACCUGGCUCAUAAAAAGGCGUCCUGUGAAUUCUGCACUUACAUUAAUAAUACGUGAUUUAGAUGUUUGUUUUUUUUGUUUUUUUAUUUGAUUAUGGUAAGCUUUCAGAAAAUGCGACUCCAUAACAUCAGACGUGUGGCCAUCCAUCCAUCAUUUAUUGUCUAUGACUCUUCCAGUAGUCGGAGUGAAAAUGUGGACUUGGACAUUUCAGCAAUCCAUCACAGAGAGUCCUGCAGUCCACCUUAAUGGUCCACGGAGCAGUAUGUGUGGGGAUUUAGUUUUUUCGAGGAAACACCUCUGUACAGUCCCAUUUUAAAGCCUGUUAGACUUCACAGCCAGCCCAACCCGUCAUUACAUUAGGGUGGGGUCAGGCGCGGUCUGUUAACAACCACACCGAACCGGGAUGUGUCAUUCCACAGUCCCUCUCUGCGGCACCAGGCGCCGCCUGCUUCGGCCCGAGUCAGAAGAGGAGAAAAGGAAACAUGAACAUAUGCUGUGCGCUGCCUGGUCCUCUUGAGAGCUUGUCGACUUUUCUCCAGAACGUGUGAGGUCAUGUUGGCGUGUUCCCGCCGCAGCGGCGCGGCUAUUAAUGCCAGAGACCCGCUCAGCGUAAUCGCGCACGUCCUAAGUGUUUCCGGUGUCAGUUGCUCGGCACCGCAGACGCGAUGCUUCCUCGCGGACGUUAAGCGGCUUUCAACAAGCAGGAGGCGAUUCGUGGUUCAGACAACAGCUGACGGGCUGUGCGCCGGUGGACAGACGGAGAAGUUCUCUUUCUUUUUCUGAAAACUGUCGCCUCUUUUUCUAAUCAAGAGCAACAAAACGCAGCUCUUGUGAUGUUACGUUAUUAACACUGCUUCUGCGCAGCUAAUUAAUACUUUUUUUGUUCUUUUUGCGGCACUUGAAGCCACGAAGUGUGUAAAGGUUUAGCGCAUUACUUUACAAAGAGCGUUUUUUUUUUUAAUUGUUCCCAUUUUGUCAUGUUACAGCUACAGACCUCUGUAUUUCAUAUUUUCAGUGAAAGCAACACGGGGUUUUCGCAUUAUUUUACGAGCAUAAAUCUGAAAAGUAUGGCAUGUAUUUUUGUCCGGACCACAUGAAUAAACACUUCGUAGAACCGGCAUUUGCCAAGAAGCAGAUCUUUUGCCGCAUGCCUACCGGCAGCUUGCGCAAGUUGGAAUUACGAAAAUAAGUUUGCUUAAUGGCAACACGGCAAUGUAAAAAAAAAAAAAAAAAAAGCGCUAGGAUGAGGUGGAUGUGCGGCUGAAAUGGAAAUACUUUUUCCGCGCCACAGGAGUCAUGUGAUCAACAACCGGAUGUUACUAAUGGAGGAAAAGAUGAAGAAAACGACAGGAAGUGGGAGGAGGAUGUUGGAGUGGUGUGCUUUAUAGUGAUUUGCCACGUGAACAAACUUAUUCGUGUGAGUUUAAUUGCAUUUCAAAUUUAAUGGAAACAUCACAAUUGCAAAAUGUUAUAUAUAUAGAUAUACAGUAUAUUUUACAUUAGCAGAAUAUCGACAUUUGAAAUGUACAACCAGAGGAUAAAGUACUUGCCUGCU